ACUCCCCCACGUUUUCUGGGUGGGCGGGGGGGGGGCGAAAAUGCAGUCGACGAGUUCUCGUUGAUGAUCGGUGCUUGCACCGAGAUUCAACAUGGAACGAGUGGCGGACGGGUGAGUAACACGUGGGUAACCUGCCCUUAAGUGGGGGAUAACAUUUGGAAACAGAUGCUAAUACCGCAUAGAUCCAAGAACCGSAUGGUUCUUGGCUGAAAGAUGGCGUAAGCUWUSGCUUUUGGAUGGACCCGCGGCGUAUUAGCCUAGUUGGUGAGGUAAUGGCUCACCAAGGCGAUGAUACGUAGCCGAACUGAGAGGUUGAUCGGCCACAUUGGGACUGAGACACGGCCCAAACUCCGUACSGGAGGCAGCAGUAGGGAAUCUUCCACAAUGGACGCGGAAGUCUGAUGGAGCAACGCCGCGUGAGGUGAAUGAAGGCUUUCCCGGGUCGUAAAACUCUGUUCCCGUUGGAGAAUGAAUGGUCGGCAGAGUCGAACUGUUGUCGGCGUGAUCGGUAUUCCAACCACGAAAGCCACGGCUAACUACGUGCCAAGCAGCCGCGGCCCCCUAAUACGUAGGUGGCAAGCGUUAUCCGGAUUUAUUGGGCGUAAAGCGAGCGCAGGCGGUUUUUUAAGUCUGAUGUGAAAGCCCUCGGCUUAACCGAGGAAGCGCAUCGGAAACUGGGAAACUUGAGUGCAGAAGAGGACAGUGGAACUCCAUGUGUAGCGGGUGAAAUGCGUAGAUAUAUGGAAGAACACCAGUGGCGAAAGCGGCUGUCUGGUCUGUAACUGACGCUGAGGCUCGAAAGCAUGGGGUAGCGGACAGGAUUAGAUACCCUGGUAGUCCAUGCCGUAAACGAUGAAUGCUAGGUGUUGGAGGGUUUCCGGCCCUUCCAGUGCCGCAGCUAACGCAUUCAGCAUUCCGGCUGGGGGGAGUACGACCGCAAGGUAUGAAACUCACAGGAUUGACGGGUGGCCCGCCACAAGCAGGUGGAAGCAUGUGGCUUUCAUCGAAGCAACGCGAAAGAACCUACCCAGGUCUGACGUCUUUUUGAUUCAGCGU
rnacentral:rRNA from 2 species